AGAAGUGUUCUGAGCAUGCAGCAGGCCUUUGGCUUCAGAUGACUCAUUGGCUGCACUGGUUCUCAGGCCUUGGCUUGGUCCGAAUUACACUCCCUCUUCCUUGGUUCCCGUCCGCAUGGGGCAUUUCACGAGAGUUCUUGAAAUGAUGCGUUUCUCCACAUUCGUGUGAACCAGUUCCUAUGGAUCUCUUCCUGUGUAUCUGCAUGUGCCCCAUGACUCUGCUUCUCUGGAGAACUCUGACUGACACAGGAGGAGCCCGUUUGGGAAACAUUUUUGAGCGAUCGCAAGAAGCAGGCUGGGCCAGCCAUUAGAGCUCGCUAAUGAAGUGCUGCUAAGAAAGGAAAGCUAAACACCACGGAAUCAAAGCGGAGCAUUUUGCUUGGCUAAUGGGCUUGAUUGUGAGAUUUUACAGGCUCUUUUAUAAACUUGAAUUUUAUUUUGUG